AGCCUUUUAUAUUAUGCAUGAAAAAUAAUAUAGACCAUCACAAACUCAUUUCCCUGUUUGGUUUCAUUGACACAUUUUGUUCAACACCUUGUAAGCAAUAAAAAUUGACACCAAACUGAUCAAAUUUCAUCGGAUUUAGUAUAACAGCUAUGGCUACUUGCGGAAUUGACUGGAAAUCUGUUCUGCCAAACUGUUUUAAGGGCAAUAAUGUUCGUUCGGAGGCGAAGGUGAUGGAGAACAGUAAACAGAUGAAUUCUGAUCAUCAUAGAUUAGCUUUUUCUGAUAUAAGUACUGAUUCUAGAUCAGUACUUAUAUCAUUGGAUGACCUUUCAUCGAACGCUGUCAUUGGUUCAAAUCUUCAUGUAUUCACAUAUGAGGAACUUAAACUCAUCACUAGUGAUUUCUCCUCAGCUAAUUUUCUCGGUAAAGGUGGAUUUGGACCCGUUCACAAGGGGUUUAUUGAUGACAAGAUUAAGCCUGGUUUGGAUGCUCAACCUGUUGCUGUUAAAUUGCUUGAUUUGGAUGGAAAUCAGGGCCAUCAAGAAUGGCUGACUGAAGUGGUUUUUUUGGGGCAAUUGAGGCAUCAUCAUCUAGUGAAGUUGAUUGGAUAUUGUUGGGAGGAGGAGCAGAGACUUCUCGUUUACGAGUAUAUGGCAAGGGGAAACCUCGAGGAUCAACUAUUUUCGAGAUAUUCGAGUUGUUUGCCAUGGUUGACCAGAAUAAAAAUUAUGGUUGGUGCUGCAAAGGGACUGGCUUUCCUUCACGGAGAAGAAAAACCAGUAAUCUACCGCGAUUUUAAGGCUUCUAACAUCCUCUUAGACUCGGAUUACAGAGCCAAACUAUCUGAUUUUGGGCUAGCAAAGGAUGGACCGGAAGGCGAUGACACACAUGUCUCAACUCGUGUGAUGGGCACUCAUGGUUAUGCUGCUCCGGAGUACAUCAUGACUGGUCAUUUGACAAGCAAGAGCGAUGUGUACAGCUUCGGAGUAGUUUUGUUAGAACUUAUAACAGGACGACGAGCCAUGGACAAGAAACGCCCCCUCAAAGAGCGAAUCUUGGUGGAUUGGGCAAGACCAAUGCUAAGGGAUCCACACAAGCUUGACAGAAUAAUGGACCCACGGCUUGAAGGUCAGUACUCGACACAAGGAGCCAAGAAGGUAGCUGCAUUGGCUUAUCAAUGCUUAAGCCACCACCCCAGGUCUAGGCCUACUAUGAGCAACAUAGUGAAGAUCUUGGAACCAGUCUUGGACAUGAAGGAUAUACCAAUGGGCCCAUUUGUUUACGUCGUUCCCUCCUCAAAACCUGACAAGGGAACAGAAAUUGGUGAAUUGAAGACUAAAGUGAACGAUGAAAACAAGGCGGGUGUAAGGGAAAACGAAGUAGAUAAUGCAGGGGAAAACAGAGAGGAUGGUAAUGCUAAGCAACGGAGAGUCGGACACAGGUAUAAACACAGGCUAAAGACUGAUGCUUCUGUUUACUCAGAUACUCAUUUGUAUCACAAAACUGUAAAGCAUGAAAGAACAAACAAACUAAAUUCUUAUUGAUCAAUCGCAACGAAUAGAAGAAAGGGAAAAGAGAUUUAAAAUGUAAAACAUAUGUGAAUUAGAUAGUAUAAUUAAGUACUCCAAUUGUAUUUUUUUUUUUUUGUUAAAUCAGUUUACAUUUUAGUCUCAGU
rnacentral:misc_RNA from 1 species